rnacentral:rRNA from 1 species
UACGAAGGGGGCGAGCGUUGUUCGGAAUUACUGGGCGUAAAGGGCGCGUAGGCGGCUUUUCAAGUGACGGGUGAAAUCCCUCGGCUUAACCGAGGAACUGCCUGUCAGACUGGAAGGCUUGAGACCGGGAGAGGUGAGUGGAAUUCCCAGUGUAGCGGUGAAAUGCGUAGAUAUUGGGAGGAACACCAGUGGCGAAGGCGGCUCACUGGACCGGAACUGACGCUGAGGCGCGAAAGCGUGGGGAGCAAACAGG